rnacentral:lncRNA from 1 species
UUUAAUUUGUUUUCAUUCUUAUUUUGAUUUUUAUUUUAUUUUAUUUUAUGAAUUUUUUUGGGGGCUGAGCAACACCCCAGGCUUUUUCAUUAAAUUGCAGGAAAACUUUAUAUAGAGAAGGGCAUAAAUCUGACCUCCAAAUGUGUUACAUGAUAUGAAAGUAUGAACUAAAAUAUGUGAAUGUGCAAUAUACAAGUAUGCAAAACUAGUAUGACUUGCCUGACCCUUCUUUCCUGUUUUGUCUAUGCAUUAGGGUGGUUCAUGAAUCUUAGUCAACUUUUUUCUCCUGAAGCUUGGCAUGCCUAAUUGAUCAAGCUUAAAAUAUCUUGCAGCAUCUGAUGGGAGCUGAUAGCUGUGAAAAUAAUAUUGUGGCUGGUCACACUGAUGACUGAUUUUGGACAAAGCAUCUGCUACAAAGUUAGCUUCUCUGUAGACAUGUCUACAUAUGCACAGGUGAAACUGUGAAAUGAGCUUCUGUAAGGAAUUCACAAAAGGUUGCAGAUGCCAUGGUACUGAUAAUUGGCUCCUUAUCCACCUGAUCAAGAGUUCAGAGUCUACCUUCACCACAAUCUACUGAAUUUCAUUGUUCAGGCACCAAGAUAAACCCCAUAUAGCAGCUUCGACCUUUGCUUAGUUAUUAGUUCCAUGCCCCAGGAGAGUAGCAUAAGUAUAGAUGAGCUCACCCUUGUGACUUCUAAUAACCCCCUGCACCAAUCCUUUCAGGAUUAGUAAGUGCACUACCAUCAGAAUUCAAUUUGACCACUGGAGCUGAUGGUUUAGAUCAAUACACUGCUGUGACUCUCGUGUCCUGUCUACAUUUCUCCACAUAAGCUGCCAGGUUAGAGCAACCAGAAGGCCAUGGGAUGUAAGGAAAAGUUGUAUUAAGCAGAAGGGAAAUAUCUUUAUAUAUAAAUUUUUUUACCUUGGCUAGUUAAGGUUGUUUGUCACCAUAUUUAACAGCACACGUGCUCUUCCACAAGUUCCAACAUAUGAUAAUUGACAAAGCCUGCAACACCAGUUUAUGGGCUCUAUUAACUGCUUUAGUUUUUCACCACUGCAAUAACAAGUAUUUGAUUGAGGAAGAGACAUGGGUAAGACCCAUAGUUGAAGAGAAAUAAUGCCAAAUAUGAUUAGCAAAUGGACAUUUUGAUUUUUAUCAAAUAUAUGAUUGACUUAAUUACUUGAUAAUUUUGUAGUAAUUUAUUUGAAACCAGAUUUUUGUAAUAAUCAUCGAACAAAUCUCAGCUUUCAUUUUAAAAAUAAUGUUUAAUUUUAAUAGUUAGAGGAUUAAAGUCAUGAUAGGAGGAAAGAAG